CGGGCAGCUUGGAGGGGUCUUGGGCGGGUCUUGGGGGGGUCUUUCUCCAGCGCUGACCACCACUGGUCCACCUGGGCCAGGAGUGUCCGGUGUCCCUGGGAGGGUCGGGCAGCACUCACGGGAUGAGCUGGACCAGGUUCCUCACGGCUCCUCCCACAAGGCACAAAGACCCCCCCAGCUGCAGCGGGGUCACCCCCGCUGGUCACCCCAGGACCCGGCCAGGACCGCGCCCCACCGCCUGUU